ACCUGACUGGCUCAGUCAGUAGAGCAUGUGACUCUUGAUCUUGAAGUUGUGAGUUCAAGCUCCAUGUUGGGUA
rnacentral:tRNA from 1 species